UCUUUGCUCGACGGCGUCCUCCUCGCGCCUCGCUAGCGGCCGGUGGCGCGUCCGCUCUUCUUCCGCGCCCUCCGAUGGACGCAACCGCAUCCCUGUCCCGUCCAUGGAAUUGGCUGACUCCACCGCUGCUUGGCCUCCUCAUCCUCCCGCCGCGCUCCCGCUCCAGCUUCCAUGGCUCGACGAGAGCAAGCUAUGUGCUUCGCGCAACCCUGGCGGUCGCACGAUCGGUCAAGAUGGCGAUGGGGAACAUUGCUGUGUUCGUGAGCCUGACACUGCUUCACCGCCCCCGCCAGAACCGACGACUUCAACGCGACCACGAUGCUCCGGCAGCCCUCGUCACCCUCCGUGCUGGGCUUCUGUGGUGUCGGAGCUUACCACGCCGCUGCUGCUCACUGGUCGUCAACUCCAUUUGCCUGCGGACGACCAGAUAGCCGUGACGCCUGCCCAGCCGCAGGUUGUAGCACCGUUGCCUCCACUGUAGGGUCGACGAAGUGGGAGCUUGCGCGCUAUCGCCACCACCACCUCCACGCAUCCAGUUCCAAUCCAGCUCCAGGUUCUGUAGUCUCCAGCACCUUUUCGUGAGACCGUAGGCUUCAGCACUACAACCAAGCUGGUUCGGCAAGGAUGUGUUGCUAGCACAAAGGUUGCUGGAGAUGGCAAAUAUAGCAAUGAGUUCGAGUCCUAUGUGUUGUAUCAAGAUCUAUCGGGUGUCACCAGGUUCAAGUAAAAUUACAGGCUAAUCCACUGGUAAUUUCCUGCCAAUCAAUUGUUCAAGAUAGCUUUUGCAUUUCGCCCUUUGUUGUUUCCUGGCAUAUAACAGAGGACCUGUAAAAGGAAAAACAACUAACAAAAAAUGUGAAAUGUCUCUCUUAACAAAAUCCCUACUUAUUAGGAUCUAUAUAUAUUAGCCCACAAGAUUUUGGUGGCUCAAGUUAGCUGAGGAGACGAAGGAGCAUAAGUCCAAGGGAGAGGCUCGACUCCACAAACCAUGACUUUUGAGACUGACAAUUUGCAACUUUGCAAGACCAAUUACUCUCUUUUUAAUCUUCUCUUAAGAUUCUCAGAGAUGGUCAUAAUUCCAUGGACGAAUUAUUACCACAAGCAACAUUAUGAUUCCACUCCUACCUCAUUUACUUUCAUUAUCAAUUGUUCUGUCCCUGGUAUUG